CUAUACAUGCAGUCGAACGAAACUUUCUUACACCGAAUGCUUGCAUUCACCGUAAGAAGUUGAGUGGCGGACGGGUGAGUAACACGUGGGUAACCUGCCUAAAAGAAGGGGAUAACACUUGGAAACAGGUGCUAAUACCGUAUAUCUCUAAGGAUCGCAUGAUCCUUAGACGAAAGAUGGUUCUGCUAUCGCUUUUAGAUGGACCCGCGGCGUAUUAACUAGUUGGUGGGGUAACGGCCUACCAAGGUGAUGAUACGUAGCCGAACUGAGAGGUUGAUCGGCCACAUUGGGACUGAGACACGGCCCAAACUCCUACGGGAGGCAGCAGUAGGGAAUCUUCCACAAUGGACGCAAGUCUGAUGGAGCAACGCCGCGUGAGUGAAGAAGGUCUUCGGAUCGUAAAACUCUGUUGUUAGAGAAGAACACGAGUGAGAGUAACUGUUCAUUCGAUGACGGUAUCUAACCAGCAAGUCACGGCUAACUACGUGCCAGCAGCCGCGGUAAUACGUAGGUGGCAAGCGUUGUCCGGAUUUAUUGGGCGUAAAGGGAACGCAGGCGGUCUUUUAAGUCUGAUGUGAAAGCCUUCGGCUUAACCGGAGUAGUGCAUUGGAAACUGGAAGACUUGAGUGCAGAAGAGGAGAGUGGAACUCCAUGUGUAGCGGUGAAAUGCGUAGAUAUAUGGAAGAACACCAGUGGCGAAAGCGGCUCUCUGGUCUGUAACUGACGCUGAGGUUCGAAAGCGUGGGUAGCAAACAGGAUUAGAUACCCUGGUAGUCCACGCCGUAAACGAUGAAUGCUAGGUGUUGGAGGGUUUCCGCCCUUCAGUGCCGCAGCUAACGCAAUAAGCAUUCCGCCUGGGGAGUACGACCGCAAGGUUGAAACUCAAAGGAAUUGACGGGGGCCCGCACAAGCGGUGGAGCAUGUGGUUUAAUUCGAAGCAACGCGAAGAACCUUACCAGGUCUUGACAUCCUUUGACCACCUAAGAGAUUAGGCUUUCCCUUCGGGGACAAGUGACAGGUGGUGCAUGGCUGUCGUCAGCUCGUGUCGUGAGAUGUUGGGUUAAGUCCCGCAACGAGCGCAACCCUUGUUGUCAGUUGCCAGCAUUAAAUUGGGACUCUGGCGAGACUGCCGUGACAAACCGGAAGAAAGGUGGGGACAACAUCCAGUCAUCAGCCCCCUAUAACCGGG
rnacentral:rRNA from 1 species